UAAGGGAUCUUCCGCAAUGGACGCAAGUCUGACGGAGCGACGCCGCGUGCGCGACGAAGCCCUUCGGGGUGUAAAGCGCUUUUCCCAGGGACGACCCAAGACGGUACCUGGGGAAGAAGCCUCGGCUAACUACGUGCCAGCAGCCGCGGUAAUACGUAGGAGGCAAGCGUUGUCCGGAAUCACUGGGCGUAAAGCGCGUGUAGGCGGAUGUCUAAGUCUGUCGUGAAAGCGCCUGGCUUAACCGGGCGAGGUCGAUGGAAACUAGGCGUCUAGAGGCCGGUAGAGGGGGGUGGAAUUCCGGGUGUAGUGGUGAAAUGCGUAGAGAUCCGGAGGAACACCAGUGGCGAAGGCGGCCCCCUGGGCCGCGCCUGACGCUGAGACGCGAAAGCGCGGGGAGCGAACGG
rnacentral:rRNA from 1 species